rnacentral:lncRNA from 12 species
AAAACCCUGAAAUCCAGAGGUUUCAUAUAGCCUGCUUGUUUGUAAGUGAGUUUGUGAAAGCAAUUUAUUGUGGUUCUAACUGGGUUAUCUUUUAUUUGUUUCUUCUAGGAGAUUUGCCACCAGUUGUCUCUUAUUUCUUUUGGAGAAGGGAUCACUGGACCCUAGUUUACUAUAAAGGAGAGAAUAAGAAUUUUUCCCAUAUUUUUCACCACAUUUGGGCAGCUAACAAACGCCAAUAAAGUAAAAAAUAAGGAGCCUGGAAGAAGAUGUAUAACAUGCCCAAUAACAGGUUUAUGGACAUCUGUAGGUAGGUCUGGGUUUAAAUUCUGGCUUAGCCAUAUAUAAACCAAGUAAUACAUUUAAGCUAUUUGAGCCUUCACUAUCUUGUUUAUAAGUGGAAUAAGAUUAAUUCAUUAGAUGGUGAUUAAAAUGCAUUAGGACAAAUACAGAUUCUUGGAAUAUGGUAAACAUUUAAAAAAUGGCAGUUAUCAUCAUCAUUAUCAUCAUUUGAAAUGUUCACCAAUAAGAUUCUGAAUUGUCUGUUAUUCUAUUUUCACCAAUACUGAAGAUAAUUAAUAUUCAAUUCUAAAGGUACAAAUAUUUAGAGAAUAUAAGUUAAGCAGUAGUUGUAUAAACUCAGGCAAUAAGCUAAGAGAUACUUGAGAUUUGAACAGUAGUUUAAAUAAUUGUGAUUUUGGAAGGGAAAAGAAUAACAGAAAGAAUAUUUGUAUUAGGAUCUACGAGGACUUGAAAAUUGUAAAUGCAGCAAGUAAAUUGACAUUUCAAAGUUAAAAACGAUUCCUUCCUUGAACUAGUGUCAAUUUUUAUGUCCAGAAAACUCACUCUUUAUUAUCUUAUGCUUUUUAGAGAUUUUAGUGACCAAAAAUAAACUGGUCAUUAACUACA